GUACUCGCAGUGGAGCCCAAAGGUUAGGUCGUUUUUGUGGUGACGUACACGCGAUAUCGUGCGGAGGGUUCUUCUCACGAUAUAGCUGCGUCCGAGGAAUGUAAAUCGAAAGAAUCUUAGAACAGUAGCGAAGCGGAGGUGACACAUCGCUCAACGAAGCAAAAGAUCUGAUGGAACCUUGUUCCUACCGCUGCUCCCUGCUGGGAACCACACAGAAGCGGACUCCGAUCGUGAAUCAAUUCAGCAUCCUCUUCGAAAUAGCCCGCACCAAGUCGACUGUGACGAUAAAAAUCGGUAAUACGGCCCAGGAACCAACGCUAAAGUGCACAUCUGAAAUGGAUUUCUUGGUACCUUUCGUAGAAAAUUUAGUGUAUAAAUAAAAAGUUUUUUAUUUAA